rnacentral:rRNA from 1 species
AUUGAACGCUGGCGGCAUGCCUUACACAUGCAAGUCGAACGGCAGCACGGGUGCUUGCACCUGGUGGCGAGUGGCGAACGGGUGAGUAAUACAUCGGAACGUACCUUAUCGUGGGGGAUAACGCAGCGAAAGCUGUGCUAAUACCGCAUACGCCCUGAGGGGGAAAGCGGGGGAUCGCAAGACCUCGCGCGAUUAGAGCGGCCGAUGCCUGAUUAGCUUGUUGGUGGGGUAAAAGCCCACCAAGGCGACGAUCAGUAGCUGGUCCGAGAGGACGAUCAGCCACACUGGGACUGAGACACAGCCCAGACUCCUACGGGAGGCAGCAGUGGGGAAUUUUGGACAAUGGGGGCAACCCUGAUCCAGCAACGCCGCGUGAGUGAAGAAGGCCUUCGGGUUGUAAAGCUCUUUUGUCAGGGAAGAAACACCGGCUCUAACACAGUCCGGGAAUGACGGUACCUGAAGAAUAAGCACCGGCUAACUACGUGCCAGCCGCCGCGGUAA